GAAAAAUUAGUUAAUAAUAACAUCAACUUGUCAAGUUGAAAUAAUCAAUUAAGUGGUAUUUUUCA
rnacentral:tRNA from 1 species